rnacentral:rRNA from 1 species
UACGAAGGGGGGCUAGCGUUGCUCGGAAUCACUGGGCGUAAAGGGUGCGUAGGCGGGUCUUUAAGUCAGGGGUGAAAUCCUGGAGCUCAACUCCAGAACUGCCUUUGAUACUGAGGAUCUUUGAGUUCGGGGAGAGGUGAGUGGAACUGCGAGUGUAGAGGUGAAAAUUCGUAGAUAUUCGCAAGAACACCAGUGGCGAAGGCGGCUCACUGGCCCGAUACUGAC